CCUAACACAUGCAAGUCGAACGGUAACAGGAAGCAGCUUGCUGCUUUGCUGACGAGUGGCGGACGGGUGAGUAAUGUCUGGGAAACUGCCCGAUGGAGGGGGAUAACUACUGGAAACGGUAGCUAAUACCGCAUAACGUCUUCGGACCAAAGUGGGGGACCUUCGGGCCUCAUGCCAUCAGAUGUGCCCAGAUGGGAUUAGCUUGUUGGUGGGGUAACGGCUCACCAAGGCGACGAUCCCUAGCUGGUCUGAGAGGAUGACCAGCCACACUGGAACUGAGACACGGUCCAGACUCCUACGGGAGGCAGCAGUGGGGAAUAUUGCACAAUGGGCGCAAGCCUGAUGCAGCCAUGCCGCGUGUAUGAAGAAGGCCUUCGGGUUGUAAAGUACUUUCAGCGGGGAGGAA
rnacentral:rRNA from 1 species